rnacentral:rRNA from 1 species
CCAGCUCCAAUAGCAUAUAUUAAAGUUGUUGCAGUUAAAAAGCUCGUAGUUGGAUUUCUGGGAGGGUGCCGAUGCCAGCUUCGUGCGGUCGCGGAGGCGCCCUUCCAUCCUUCUGUUAGCGCCUCUUGGCAUUCAUUUGCUGGUGGCGGGCUCAGAUAUUUUACCUUGAGAAAAUUAGAGUGUUUCAGGCAGGCUAAGCCGGAAUACAUUAGCAUGGAAUAAUGGAAUAGGACUGAGGUCUCUUUGUUGGUUUGAGGGACUACAGUAAUGAUUAAUAGGGACAGUUGGGGGCAUUAGUAUUUAAUAGUCAGAGGUGGAAUUCUAUGAUUUGUUAAAGACUAACUUAUGCGAAAGCAUUUGCCAAGGAUGUUUUCA